CGGGUGAGUAACGCGUAAAGAACUUGCCGAAUGGACUGGGAUAACAGCUGGAAACGGCUGAUAAGACCGGAUAUUAUGAACUUGCUGCAUAGUGAGUUUAUGAAAAGAGAUGCCAUUUGAGAGCUUUGCGUCCUAUUAGCUAGUUGGUAAGGUAACGGCUUACCAAGGCGAUGAUAGGUAGCCGGCCUGAGAGGGUGGACGGCCACAAGGGGACUGAGAUACGGCCCUUACUCC
rnacentral:rRNA from 1 species